UGGCUUCCCAGCCUAGCCCGUUCCUCCCUCUCGUGGACGCUCCGCCGCAGCACGCCAAGUCUCCAACCAGCCUGUGCUGCCUUGCGUUGCAAGGAAGAGCAGUUCCCCGCACUGAUAUCCAUCAUCAUCUCGAUCUGCUGCUCUUCCUCUCCUCGGCUGCUCCCCCACUUCGUCUCUCUCCCACCCCGUCGGCUGCCUGGAUCGAUCCACCGGCGGCUUCCCGUGGAGCAGCGCAGGCCGCCACACGCCUCCGAAAAUCGACUCUCCACCCUCCAUCAACUCAUGGACAAGGGUCACCCAGGGUACUUCAAGUCCAUGAUCGACGCUAAGCUCCAGGAGCAGGGGUUCUUUGCUUCCCAGCACUGCGUCAACUGCGGCCAUGAGCUCGACUACAAGCCGGACAUGGUUGGGUUUCCUGCCGGUGUCAAGUUCGAUCCGACAGACCAGGAGCUGAUUGAGCACCUUGAGUCCAAGAUGAUGAAGAGAGCUCACUCCCUCAUCGAUGACUUCAUACCCACCAUUGAGGGAGAAGAUGGCAUUUGCUACACCCAUCCAGAGAAACUCCCAGGUGUGACAAGAAAUGGCCAGAGCAAACACUUUUUCCACAGACCAUCAAAGGCCUACACCACAGGCACGAGGAAGAGGAGAAAGAUCCACGCAGAGAGUGAGCUGUCCAACAGUAAAAAUGGUGCCGAGACGCGGUGGCACAAGACUGGCAAGACACGGCCGCUGAUGGUGGACGGACGGCAUAAGGGGUGCAAGAAGAUCCUAGUGUUGUACAGCAACUUUGGCAAGGCACGAAAGCCAGAAAAGACUAAUUGGGUGAUGCACCAGUACCACCUCGGCGACCUAGAGGACGAGAAGGAAGGGGAGUUGAUCGUGUCAAAGGUCUUCUAUCAGACACAGCCACGGCAGAGUGCCGCUGCCACGACAUCGACAGUAUUCCAUGAGCCUUCGACUAACGGGGAUAUGGAGGUAAAGACGCCAAAGUCAAUGAAGAUUGGGCUCACUGAUUAUGCGGUUGUCGCCGCGGCUGCCAUCCAGAUGCAGCGACAGCAGCAGCAAAUGCUGAAGCAAGGUGAUGAGGUAACAUACCUAGAUGAACAAGGGAAAGGAGGGGCAGGACCAACAGCAGCAGAAAUUUGACCACAGGCCUGCUGGCUUGGAAGGACUAAUAAUGGCCUGCAAAUCAGCAAGUACAAAAGAAGGAACUUCAACUACUCAGCCCGAAGAUAUGCAAUGGCCUUACCAGUACUAGCCGCCUGACAAGUGACAACCAAGAUCAGCAUCGGUAAAUUAUAAAGGACUCCGCAAGUACAUCAUUCAUUUAUGACAGAACUAGUUAUCUGCAAUUUGCAGAACCGAGAACUGUAAGUGAAUCAGAGGUCCAAGAGGGGGUAGAGGAUAGUGAGACAUAUUGCAUCAACGGGACGAAACUUAGGGGAAGCCCUUGGUGUUGCAAAGCAAAGAUGAGGAAAAGUUGUAUUCUCGUGCUGAGUUCAGGUCGAGGCUGACCUACCUGAGAAAUCUGAAUAUGAUUUUCUCAGGGAAAUGGAAUCUGUAUGGUCAAACGCACCAUAGGUGAAGAUGAAAUCACUGGCACGUAUUGUACUAUCACAAGUUAUAUAGAUGCAAGAUACGAUUUUCUGAACUGUACAAAGUAGUACUCGUAUAGGCUAUGUGUGGGUCUAUAUGCCAUUGGUUGCUAUAAAUAGUUGUCCUUUUCUUAUUCAUUUUUU